rnacentral:rRNA from 1 species
GACGAACGCUGGCGGCGCGCCUAACACAUGCAAGUCGAACGAGCGAGAGAGAGCUUGCUUUCUCGAGCGAGUGGCGAACGGGUGAGUAACGCGUGAGGAACCUGCCUCAAAGAGGGGGACAACAGUUGGAAACGACUGCUAAUACCGCAUAAGCCCACGGCUCGGCAUCGAGCAGAGGGAAAAGGAGCAAUCCGCUUUGAGAUGGCCUCGCGUCCGAUUAGCUAGUUGGUGAGGUAAUGGCCCACCAAGGCGACGAUCGGUAGCCGGACUGAGAGGUUGAACGGCCACAUUGGGACUGAGACACGGCCCAGACUCCUACGGGAGGCAGCAGUGGGGAAUAUUGCACAAUGGGGGAAACCCUGAUGCAGCGACGCCGCGUGGAGGAAGAAGGUCUUCGGAUUGUAAACUCCUGUU